GAGAAGAAGAAGGAAGCAAAGACGUGCACGUCGCGAGCGGGAAGAGAUAGGUUUUCGUGAUUUUUGGAGAAUUUUCAGUGCGGGGAUACUGAUCUAAACAGCUUCGCUCCACUAUAAAGAGCGAAACUCGAAACAGAGAAAGGAGGAAUCCCUGAGGCCAAGGGGGCGUAGAGAUAGGGAGGAGGCCGAGAAGAGAGAGCUCAUCUUCUCCAUGGAUUCUUCGCAAGAUACUCAGAAAAAUCCCCUCAAAUUGUUCUUCUCAUUCUUUAUUUUCCUUCUACUCGCAGAACCAAUUAAUGGCCUCUACUUAUUGACAUAAGCACAAAUAUCACCCAUCUCUGUAUUUUCUUCAGCGCGACUCCAAGCAGCUCAGGCCAUCUCUGUCACAGAAGAAGCCCUCUCUCUGCUGUCCUUAAUUUUCGAGCGGCAAUCAUAUACAUUGCAGCUUAUCAUCACCGAGACCCAACCUUCAUCGCAUAGUUGAUCA
rnacentral:lncRNA from 1 species